UACGGAGGGUGCAAGCGUUAUCCGGAUUCACUGGGUUUAAAGGGUGCGUAGGUGGGCUUGUAAGUCAGUGGUGAAAUCUCCGUGCUUAACAUGGAAACUGCCAUUGAUACUAUGGGUCUUGAAUUAUCUGGAGGUUAGCGGAAUAUGUCAUGUAGCGGUGAAAUGCUUAGAUAUGACAUAGAACACCAAUUGCGAAGGCAGCUGGCUACAGGUACAUUGACACUGAGGCACGAAAGCGUGGGAUCAAACAGG
rnacentral:rRNA from 1 species